rnacentral:misc_RNA from 1 species
GUAAAUUCAUGAUGAGGUGACUUCAAAGAAGAGUGGCUUACUUGUAUUAUAGCCACUAGCUAUAAUUAAAGGUCCAUUUUUGAGAAGUAUGUCCAGAGCUUGGAAAGUAAGACACAUCAAAAUAAUUUUAAGGUGGAGAAAAAGUAUUACGAAUUGAAUUACAAGCACGUUCAUAAUGAAAAAAAUAAGGGUAUUUCUGUUUAAUGUCUUUAUAAUAAUGUACAUUUAUGGAACCGAAGUCCACAAUUCUGAAAAUUUUUCUUUCCAAAAAUUUCUUCUUCAAUUUAAGCAUGAAAAUAAAUGGUUUAGAAUGUUGGGAGGAUGCAAAGAUGGAAAAGAACUUCACCAAAUCAAGUAAUGACAAAAGUUAAGUGCAGAACGAAUCAAUUCAGCUUUGAAACAGAGGAGGUAGGAAGGAAAAGAGAGAGAUGAUAUUGUAACGCAACAGAGACUGAAAGAGAAAGAAGGAUAGAUAACCUGUUGCCA